GUGAUGCCCUCUUAUCUCCUUUUAUUUUUCCCCUUUGUCUUUUUUUACGUUUUUUCUGCUUUGAACUACUGAUUGUUGGUUUUUAUUUUAUCUGUUCUAUUGUUGUUAUUCUGAAUUGUUAUGUUUUAAUUUUUUUUUUAACGUACUGCACUAAUGAUGUCAUCUAGCGACAUUCAGUGACUUUUCCGGCGGGGUUCAGCUACUUUCCAUUGAAAGUCUCACAGACGUCAGCGCACUGAGAUCAGCGUAUUUUGUACAGAGCGGAUGAAAGCUUGUUUUGAGGAAAACUCGCUUGUAGCACGUUUUCUACGUCACUACGAAAGAAAAGAGGCGUCGAUUGUGUAGUAAAAACAUUUUGCUCGUGAGUUAUUGAUACGGAAAAGUCAAAUCUAUGAAUAUCUUUCCAGCAGAAAAAGAGAAAAAUCUACAAUGAACUCGGUCAAAAUUCUCCUCCUGAUAUCCACUAUUUUUCCAUCUCAGAGUGAAAUAUGUUCUCUGUACUACACGUAUAGCGCCACAUUAAAACCUCUUAUCUCUGAAGACAUUUAUGAAUUUUACAGCUCAGUUGAACUCAGUGACAUAGAGAUGAAUUUCUGUAACAGUGUGAAUAAAGCAAAAUUCUUGACAAAGUUGUGUGAGGAAUCUAAGAGACUCUUUUAAAGUGAAAGUGAUGAGCUGCGUUAUAAACGAGAGUGGCUUCAAAACAACCUCAGCUCUCUGAGACACAUGAGAAAAGAAAACAGGACAAACCACACAGGUAAUUAUGUGUUAGGGAACAGGUAAGAUACCAUGUAUCAUUCAUUCUUUCAUUAAACAGCCUGGAAAAGGUUUAAUAUUGUGAGCAUCUGAAUGUAGUGAAACAAAUAUUUUGUCAUAAUGUUUAUAGCAGUGGUUAAGAAUUAACGCUUCAUUAACGCCAAACAAGUGACUCUAAGCAUGCUGAGGUUUAAAAUACAGUUAGUAAAGCAUCAUCACACAACGUUUUCACCAUUACGAGUCUUUAAUAGCUUGAAUGAACAACUCAGGGACUCACUCAUUAGAUGCUCACUACUGGCACCUACUGGCGUUUUGAUUUAGUUUUAAAGUAUCAUUUCCACCAUCAUUUCUUGUUUGUGUAUUCCAAAAAAUAUUUAAAACACUCUCAUAACAUCAUUCAGUGCAAUCGUAUUUUUUCAGUGUUAAUGAUUUGAUAAUUUGAUAACGUAGAGAUAACGAUAAUCCCAUUAUUAUAAUUGAAUUUAUAGAUUAAA
rnacentral:lncRNA from 1 species